UCCGCCAUAGCUCAGUUGGUAGUAGCGCAUGACUGUUAAUCAUGAUGUCGUAGGUUCGAGUCCUACUGGCGAAG
rnacentral:tRNA from 1 species